rnacentral:snRNA from 1 species
GGAUCUGAAGGUGAUGUGGCUGCACCAUCUGCCACCUCUUAGAUCACCAGAGGUGACACUGCUAUCUGGCUGCCUGGACAGGUGUUUCCUUACUCCCUCAUUGCACACCUCCAGAACCUAAGCAUUCAGUCAAGAGGACCAUGGUCCCCUGUAGAAGAGAACCAGUCUUCUGAAAAGGAUAUAUAAGAUAAGCUGCACUCACCUGCUAGAAAUUUCAGACAAGUUCUCAAGAUCCUUUUAUUUUUAUUUAUUUAUUUAUUUAUUUAUUUAUUUAUUAUUUUUGAGACAGGGUCUUACUCUCUCACCCAGACUGGAGUGUGAUGGCCUGAUCUC